GUUUAAAUUUAAUUUUCAUUAAAAGUUAAGUCAAGUUUAAAAGGUUGAUUCUUGAGGCUGGGUCGAACACCAUCCCGAGAGAUAGCGACGGCCCAAAGAAAUGUUACAGUUCACAAAGGUUGUUAAACCACUGGCUCGGUUCUCCCGGCGGGAGAUCAACAAGCCAGCGAUUAUCAUUUAGUAAUGAUCCAACCGCAGGUUCACCUACGGUUA
rnacentral:misc_RNA from 1 species